rnacentral:tRNA from 1 species
UCUCCUGUGGCGCAAUCAGCUAGCGCGUUCGGCUGUUAACCAAAAGGUUGGUGGUUCGAGCCCACCCUGGAACA